UUCNUGAGUUUCCCAUCGUUCGGGGCAUUCUGGGGCUGUUUUGGCUAUUGGUUGCUUGUUCGGUCUUGAGCUGAGCGGGGGGCUUCUAGUCGGGUGGCUUCGGGGAUGUUGUCCGUAAAGGUGGAUGAGUGGUGUUUGGUUUGUUACGUGUGGUUGGCUGCGGCGUUUGCAACAACUUCCAUGCUCUCAGACCUCUUCAGUUGUGCGGCAAGGCUUGUAUCGCCUUGAGCGUAUCGUGGGUUUUCUGUGUUGGCUACCUAAUCGACGGUAUCGUNUGGAUUGAUCAAAGUGUGAUUUCGUCUUCCGUCGCGUUUGCGGCGUGAGGUGAACCUUGAUGCGGUCUCUUUGAUCCAUCUCGUCAAAGCANAUGCUUUGACGUUGUGGCACAUUGGGCAUUGCUUGGUCUCUUGUGUACGGAACACGUAGCGGGCAUGGAUCUAACGAUUCUUGUUUGCCCUCAUAUUAGCGUAACGCUUCUCAAACACGACUUGCAUCGCGUUUNAG
rnacentral:misc_RNA from 1 species